CCGCAGCAGCUGCUGCUGAUGAUUUGAGAGAUUCGUAUUGGGAAUUGUAUCUUUCAGGUGGACAGAAGACCGUGUCUAACAACUGGCUUUACUUCAAGUCAUCGAGAAAGUUGGCAGAAACAGAAAUCAUCACUGCAAGUUGCGCCAUGUUAAAGCAUUUUUCACGUUACUCAAAACUGUCGAGAACGGUCGGUUGUUUUUUCAUUUCUAACUUUGAAGAAAAACAGCUCAACGAGGGUAGAGUGGCUUGGCGAAGCAUGUACACUCUUUAUUCGGCAACCUGGAUUACUUUGAUGUUAUUUUUCGAAGUGACAACAGUAUAUGAAAGAUUUCGCCAGCUGGAUUUCAAAACUGCGUUUACCGCUAACGUGCUGGUCACCGUCCGUAUGUGCGUUAUUUUGGAAAGUGCGAUUAAUUUCUCCUGCAUGGUCUUCGGUUCCUUCAGGCUUCUCGAGUUUUUUCGCGAGGCGGCACUGUUUGAGAGGUCUGCUGGCGUUUCCUACCAAGCUCUAAAACAUCUGCCUAGAAAAUCAUGGCCACGAAUAUUCAUAAAACUAAUGAUUGUCACCUCAUUCGUGAUUAGUUUUGGUGGUUCUGUCACCAGAGCCAUAGAGAUAUUUUUGGAAAGCGUCCAGUAUAAUUGGACUUACGUGCUGAUAGUCCCCCGAAUAUUGUCCCAGUUGGUGUUCUUCUUUUACGAGACGAGCAUGUACAUUUUUUUGAGCAUUGCUUCCGAAAUACUGGUUUCUUACACAAAGUUUCAGGGUUUGGCUUUGCUAAAAUGCCAGAAGAGCGCACAUCUCGCCGCUUCCGACGAGCAGGUCCUGUCGAUCGAGGCGAUACGCCGGAAUUUAUACAAAAUUAGAAAGCUGAAGAAGCACGUUAACGCUGUCUGGGCGCCGGCGAUUCUGGCGUUUUCGCUGUCUUCUCUUUGGGUGAUUUGCACGACGUUGUAUUGUCUGUUUUCCGGGCAUGAUAACACUUUGGACCUGUGGCUUGGACUGGCUUAUGGAGUCAGCUGCUCAUUCAGGCUUCUCGACUUGGCCAUUAUCAGUGAUGACUUGUGCAGUGAGGCUCAAGACAUCAAGCGCAUGACUAAGACUGCAAGAAAUAUUUAUGUGGCAGAUGCCCAUGUGUCUCAGAUCCAGUAUCUGCAUGACAGCAUCGACCCACCAUCAAUGAGACUCACGGGGGCCAGCUUCUUCUGCGUUGGCAGGAGACUUCUUGUUGCG